rnacentral:rRNA from 1 species
ACGGAGGGUGCAAGCGUUAAUCGGAAUUACUGGGCGUAAAGCGCGCGCAGGCGGUUUGGUAAGUCAGAUGUGAAAUCCCCGGGCUCAACCUGAGAACUGCAAUUGAUACUGGCUAUCUUGAGUCUCGUAGAGGGUGGUAGAAUUUCUGGUGUAGCGGUGAAAUGCUUAGAUAUCACAAGGAACACCGAUUGCGAAGGCAGCCGCCUAGACGAAUACUGACGCUCAGGCGCGAAAGCGUGGGGAUCAAACAG